rnacentral:rRNA from 1 species
UACGUAGGCAGCGAGCGUUGUUCGGAAUUACUGGGCGUAAAGAGUGUGUAGGCGGUGCUCUAAGUUCGGUGUGAAAUCUCCCGGCUUAACUGGGAGGGUGCGCCGGAAACUGGAGUGCUCGAGCGUGGGAGAGGAAAACGGAAUUCCUGGUGUAGCGGUGAAAUGCGUAGAUAUCAGGAGGAACACCUGCGGUGUAGACGGCUUUCUGGACCAUUGCUGACGCUGAGACACGAAAGCGUGGGUAGCAAACAGG